rnacentral:rRNA from 1 species
GGCUCAGAAUGAACGUGGGCGGCGUGGAUUAGGCAUGCAAGUCGAGCGAGAACCCCGCAAGGGGGGACAGCGGCGCAAGGGACAGUAAUGUGUAGAUCAUCUGCCCUCAGGUCCGGGAUAGCUGCGGGAAACUGCAGGUAAUACCGGAUAACAUCUCCAGAUCAAAGGUGUGAUUCCGCCUGAGGAUGAGUCUGCAUCCUAUUAGCUAGUUGGCAGGGUAACGGCCUACCAAGGCAUUGAUGGGUAGCGGGUGUGAGAGCACGACCCGCGUCAUUGGGACUGAGACACUGCCCAGACACCUACAGGUGGCUGCAGUCGAGAAUCUUCGGCAAUGGGCGCAAGCCUGACCGAGCGACGCCGCGUGUGGGAUGAAGGCCUUCGGGUUGUAAACCACUGUCAGAGGGGAUGAAAUGCAGGUGGGUUCUCCCAUCUGUUUGACAUAGCCUCAGAGGAAGGACGGGCUAAGUUCGUGCCAGCAGCCGCGGUAAGACGAACCGUCCAAACGUUAUUCGGAAUUACUGGGCUUAAAGGGUGCGUAGGCGGCGCGGAAAGUUGGGUGUGAAAUCCCUCGGCUCAACCGAGGAACUGCGCCCAAUACUACCGUGCUUGAGGGAGAUAGAGGUGAGCGGAACUUAGGGUGGAGCGGUGAAAUGCGUUGAUAUCCUAAGGAACACCGGUGGCGAAAGCGGCUCACUGGAUCUCUUCUGACGAUGAGGCACGAAAGCUAGGGUAGCGAACGGGAUUAGAUACCCCGGUAGUCCUAGCCGUAAACGAUGAGCACUGGAUUGGAGGGUCCUCCAUAGCCUUCCAGUCGCAACGAAAGCGUUAAGUGCUCCGCCUGGCGAGUAU